rnacentral:rRNA from 1 species
CAGCCGUAAACUAUGCGCGUUAGGUGUAUCGGUGACCACGAGUCACCGAGGUGCCGAAGGGAAACCGUGAAACGUGCCGCCUGGGAAGUACGGUCGCAAGGCUGAAACUUAAAGGAAUUGGCGGGGGAGCACAACAACGGGUGGAGCCUGCGGUUUAAUUGGACUCAACGCCGGACAACUCACCGGGAACGACAGCAAUAUGUAGGCCAGGCUGAAGACCUGCAUGACUAGCUGAGAGGAGGUGCAUGGCGUAGACGUCU